CAGUCACAUUUGUUGGGGUUCAGCCUGGCUUUUGCCUGGUGUAUUUCCUUUCCGAUGGGUCAGCAUCAGUUUCGACCGAGGGAAAAAGACAUUGGGAAUGUGGCUGUCCUCGGGCAGUGUUAUAGCCUGGUGUUGUAUGUCUCGGUUGGGACUGAGGAACGCAGCGCGCCAUAAAUGGCCGGGGGUCGCGUCCUCUCGACACGCGCUUAGGAUGCUGGCAUAAUGGCUUUAAGCGACCCGUCUGAGACACGGACCAAGGAGUCUAACAUAUGUGCGAGUG
rnacentral:rRNA from 1 species